rnacentral:rRNA from 1 species
GCCCAGACUCCUACGGGAGGCAGCAGUGAGGAAUAUUGGUCAAUGGGCUUACGCCUGAACCAGCCAAGUCGCGUGAGGGAAGACUGCCCUAUGGGUUGUAAACCUCUUUUGUCAGGGAGCAACGCCGGCUACGUGUAGCCGGACUGAGAGUACCUGAAGAAAAAGCAUCGGCUAACUCCGUGCCAGCAGCCGCGGUAAUACGGGGGAUGCAAGCGUUAUCCGGAUUUAUUGGGUUUAAAGGGUGCGUAGGCUGUGAGGUAAGUCAGCGGUGAAAUGCCCCCGCUCAACGGGGUGAAGUGCCAUUGAUACUGCCUUGCUGGAAUGCGGAUGCCGUGGGAGGAAUGUGUGGUGUAGCGGUGAAAUGCAUAGAUAUCACGCAGAACUCCGAUUGCGAAGGCAGCAUACCGGCGCGCAACUGACGCUCAUGCACGAAAGCGUGGGUAUCGAACAGGAUUAGAUACCCCAGUAAC